UAACUCUGGUUUCCCUUCAAAACGCAUAACGCUUUCGCCUUUUACUAAAGAUUUCCGUGGAGGGGAACAACUCAAUGAGUCUUAAUGAGUCGGUGGGUUCAUUAAAAUUAUAUAGUAAG